CUACGGGGUGCUCCAGUGGGGAAUUUUGCGCAAUGGGCGUAAGCCUGACGCAGCAAUACCGCGUGAGUGAAGAAGGCCUUUGGGUCGUAAAGCUCUUUUCUGAAGGAAGAUAGUGACGGUACUUCAGGAAUAAGCACCGGCUAACUCCGUGCCAGCAGCCGCGGUAAUACGGAGGGUGCAAGCGUUGUUCGGAUUUACUGGGCGUAAAGGGAACGUAGGCGGCACAGCAAGUUAAGGGUGAAAUCCCGGGGCUCAACUCCGGAACUGCUCUUAAAACUGCUGAGCUAGAGAUAGUCAGAGGCGGGUGGAAUUCCUGGUGUAGAGGUGAAAUUCGUAGAUAUCAGGAGGAACACCGGUGGCGAAGGCGGCCCGCUGGGGCUAUUCUGACGCUAAGGUGCGAAAGCGUGGGGAGCGAACGGGAUAGAUACCCCUGUAGUC
rnacentral:rRNA from 1 species